GGGAACCUGCGGCUGGAUCACCUCCUUUCUAAGGAUGGUUCUUCAGCGAGCUCACGCUCACUAUCGAACCGUUUUAGAAACAUUCAGGGGCCAACAGUUUCAGGAUUGUUGAGCUCCAUUGGCGGGAUUUCGCCGUCUACGUUUCUCUUUCUUCGCGGACGAACACGCGCCAGGGGCUGAGCGCUUGAGCGAUGCGUCGGCGUAAGCUGGCGCGCGCUAGUGUGCCUCUCGUGUUAGGGGCUUGUAGCUCAGUUGGUUAGAGCGCGCGCUUGAUAAGCGUGAGGUCGGAAGUUCAAGUCUUCCCAGGCCCACCAGCCUUCGCGCUUCGCUGCUUCGGCUAGGCAGGCCCUUCGAAACGAAGGCUGCUGCGCCGUAGCCUUGGCGAAGGCGAACGGCAUCAACAAUGCGCUUCGUCUUCUGGUACGGGGCCAUAGCUCAGCUGGGAGAGCGCGUGCUUUGCAAGCAUGAGGUCGUCGGUUCGAUCCCGUCUGGCUCCACCAGAUGGUAUCGAAGCUUGAGAAUGCCUCGACCAAAUCGUCCGCGAAACAUCACUUCGCAUGCGUGAGCCUGGAUAGGCUGCGUCAUGCGUGUUUUCUGACAUCGUAAAGAGGAGAUCGAUCCGAGUUUGGAUCAAGCGAAGCAAUUCGCCUGAGCCAUUCAUUAUCUCCGGAUCAUUUCGGCGCUCGCUUUCAGCCGUGAGGUUGAAUGCGGGUUGUAAAUGAUCCUUUCAGCGAAGCUUGACCGCCUCGCUGUCGGGCCGAUCUUACGAAGCAAGCUGGUCUUUCUAGUCAAGGUCCGGCUGCGACAAUCGCAUUCAUCGAGGAUGCGUGCCUGGGACUUCGGUCUUUGGCAGUUGCGCAGACAACAUUCUGCCGAGUGUGUGGACAUUGAUAAUGAGAGC
rnacentral:tRNA from 1 species